rnacentral:rRNA from 1 species
GACGUAGGGGGCGAGCGUUGUCCGGAUUCAUUGGGCGUAAAGCGCGUGCAGGCGGCCCGGUAAGUCGGAUGUGAAAUCCCACGGCUCAACCGUGGAACUGCAUUCGAUACUGUCGGGCUAGAGGCAGGUAGGGGAGAUCGGAAUUCCUGGUGUAGCGGUGAAAUGCGCAGAUAUCAGGAGGAACACCGGUGGCGAAGGCGGAUCUCUGGGCCUGUCCUGACGCUCAGGCGCGAAAGCUAGGGGAGCGAACAGG